rnacentral:rRNA from 1 species
UACGUAGGGGGCAAGCGUUGUCCGGAUUUAUUGGGCGUAAAGAGCGUGUAGGCGGCCAAACAGGUCAGCUGUGAAAACUCGAGGCUCAACCUCGAGACGUCGGUUGAAACCGUUUGGCUAGAGUCCGGAAGAGGAGAGUGGAAUUCCCGGUGUAGCGGUGAAAUGCGCAGAUAUCGGGGAGAACACCCGUGGCGAAGGCGGCUCUCUGGGACGGUACUGACGCUGAGACGCGAAAGCGUGGGGAGCGAACAGG